GUGGGGAAUAUUGCACAAUGGGGGAAACCCUGAUGCAGCGACGCCGCGUGAGUGAAGAAGUAUUUCGGUACGUAAAGCUCUAUCAGCAAGGAAGAAAAUGACGGUACUUGACUAAGAAGCCCCGGCUAACUACGUGCCAGCAGCCGCGGUAAUACGUAGGGGGCAAGCGUUAUCCGGAUUUACUGGGUGUAAAGGGAGCGUAGACGGUAUGGUAAGUCAGAUGUGAAAGCCCGGGGCUCAACCCCGGGACUGCAUUUGAAACUAUCAGACUAGAGUGCAGGAGAGGUAAGUGGAAUUCCUAGUGUAGCGGUGAAAUGCGUAGAUAUUAGGAGGAACACCAGUGGCGAAGGCGGCUUACUGGACUGUAACUGACGUUGAGGCUCGAAAGCGUGGGGAGCAAACAGGAUUAGAAACCCGAGUAGUCC
rnacentral:rRNA from 1 species